AUGUUUUAAUUCAAAGAAGGUGUAGGUAGACCUUAUUUUCACCAACAAAACAAAGUUUUUAAUGAACGAAACACACUAAAACUAACGUCUGGUAUAUUGCUUGUUUUUCCCAAUUUCAUUGAAAACCAUGUUAAAAAUUCCUAAUCCAGGGUCCUUUUUCCCAAAAGACUCAGAUAACCCCCUGACAUCAAACGAAUGAAUAACAACUGUCAUAUUCCUGACUUGGUACAGGCAUUUUCUUAUGUAGAAAAUAGCGGAUUAAACCUGGUUUUAUAACUAGCUAAACCUCUCACUUGUAUGACAGUUGCAUCAAAUUCCAUUAUUUUGACAAUGAUACGUUAACAAAACAAACAGACAUGAUAGGUAAAAAUGUCAAAAUAGAGGUACAGCAGUCAACAUUGUGUUACAAAAUGGCAUAUUGACCAAGCAAAUUAGCAAACAUUAAAGACAAGAAAACACAAAUUAACCAUAUGACAAUAACACAAUGGCGGGAUGUUAAAGUACAAAGCCUUGUCAUAUAUGUACCAAAGAAAAAUAAAAAGGCAUAUAGACAAAAGCACAUAGCAAAAA
rnacentral:lncRNA from 1 species